GUCGCUACCGAGGGGUGUCCCGACAAGGGGCUGAGAUUCUGCUGGCCGCGAGGCAGCGCAGUGACCCUUUGAACCUGAUCCGGAUCAUGCCGGCGAAGGGACAGGUCGAUGCGCCUUAU
rnacentral:ncRNA from 2 species